rnacentral:lncRNA from 10 species
GAACUUUAAGCAGCUUUCUAUUUCUCUUAGGAUAAAGUCCAAAAUCCUUAACGUGGACAACAACAACAAAGAUCUUGUGUGAUCUAACUUAAGACAAGCCCACGGGAACUGUGGAGAAGGUGCUCUGCAAAUAUGCAAGUAGAUUUGAAUCCGUGCAGUAGAAAGGAUGAACUAUCUAGAGGGGGCAUCACCCUUUUUCUUAACCUCAGCACAUGAUUUGAAGAUAAGAAGGCUUACCAAAACUUCUUGCUCCACACUGUGUAUUUGCAUUUCAGACCUAAAACGCAGAAGCAUGUCGUGUAUUUUAAAAGAUUGCUUUUAAAAUGAUUCUCCCAAGCCUUAUAUUUUUCUAGAGAACAAAACGGAGGUGAGUUCAUGAAUAGAAAAGACCUAAUCUUUCUUUUGAUUCAUGCUUAUAUAUCUGGAAUAAAGCACAGAGAUGUCUAAUGAUUUUAUGAUAAUAUCAACUAUUUUUCCUGACUUCUUUUAUUCAGCAAAGCAGAGUUGCUUCUGAUGGAAUUCUGAAAUAGAAAUUGUUCCUGAAACUAGGAACUAUUAACUAAGAAGUGUAUUUGAGGUUCUUAGCACAUAAUUUGGUACAAUCAUGCCUUAUGAAGUAAUAGUCAAGAAGCUGUAUAGUGUUUCCAGCUGACAGACAUUUUUAUAAGAAAGGGUCCUGUUCUCCCCAACCAGACAUAGGGCUUCACACCCAUCUUGUUUCCUGGACCCUCCAACAUAAUAUAGUAGAUCUUCAAUUAGCCUUCAGGAUGUAACUUAUUGUCUCUCUACUCUGACAUCAUCUUAGUUGUGUUACAGAGGUAGACUAUCAUUUUCAGAAAAACAAUCCAUACUAUACAAACGAUAUCCUUAUAGCACACUGGAACCCAAAAGCUCUUUAUUAUCACAUGUAGGGUGAAGCCCACAAGAGCUUGAGGGCUUGAGAAAUGAUACUCACAAGUGAGUCACAGAAAGUUCUCUGAAGAGGAAAACUGGGAAAGGAUUGAGAUUCUCUCUCAAUCUUCUGUCCGCUCCAUCCUUCGCUUUCCCUUUGAUUUCCUCCAUCCGUCAUUCCUCCCGCUCUCUCAUUAUCUCUUCACUCCAUUUAUCCUCCUUCCAUCCUUCUCUCCUUCUCCUUGCCUCAAUACUUUCUCUCUGUCCCUUCCUUUAUCCUUUGCUUCUACUUCUGCCUUAUUUAGAAUUGUGAAUGGAAAUCAGCUUCACCUUAAGCUAAAUUGUCUUAUUUACAAAUAUUUAAAAUAACUUAAAAGACUAUAAAAUUUCUAGCAAAAAGAACUUUGCAAUAUAGGAUAAGUAUGGACUACCCUUUUACGUAUUUUUACCUUUAAACUAUUUCUUCUAUUAGAAGUAACUUGCAUGUGUUCAUGUCUAGAGAGCAAGUGGUGGUUUAAAAGACGUAUUUUUUAUCUUUUUUUGACUUCUUUCAUUCCAAGACAUUACCUUAUUAAAUGUGAUAUAAAUACCAGAAAGAAGCAAAAAGUUCUCAUAAAACUGUAACUAUUUAACAAAACUUACUAAGGUAUUUUCACACACAGACACCCACCAGAGUGCUGUGAAAUGAACCUAUCACGGUGUCCUUGGUGAGUGAGCGAUGGGUGGUUAUGCCCCGUUUCUCCUGCAGAGGGCAGCUCCAGACACCUCAGAGCUAAGGCAGUUUCUGUAACCUCCUGGCCUGCAACUGGGAUGAUUCCUGUAGCGGGAGCUAAGACACCAUGGCCUGAAAACUGCUCCUACCGGCUGCCUGAAAGGGGUAUCCACCAGACACCUCUGACUGGGGCCAGCAGCUACACAAUGGGGACUCAGUCGUUUUCAACCAAUACAGAAUAAAUGGGUGUGAAUUCUUCAAUUGCAUAUAUGGGCCUGAUUGUGAACUAGGGUGGAAACUGUCACUAAGCCAGUUCCACUCUUUGCUCUCCCAAAGGAAUUUUCCCAUUAACAAAAGAAGUUGUGUCUCCUUAUCUUCAAAUUGCUUUUUUUUUUUUUUUUUUUUUAGAAAAUAAAGCUUUCCUUUGCUUUUCCUUGGGGGUACCUCGUGAUCUUUUCUUUUCUUUUUUUUUUUAUUUGAGACAGA